rnacentral:misc_RNA from 1 species
AACACUGUUAACCUGCGGUACCUGCGGAAGGAUCAUUACCGAGUUUACAACUCCCAAACCCCUGUGAACAUACCUAUACGUUGCCUCGGCGGAUCAGCCCGCGCCCUGUAAAAAGGGACGGCCCGCCCGAGGACCCUAAACUCUGUUUUUAGUGGAACUUCUGAGUAAAACAAACAAAUAAAUCAAAACUUUUAACAAUGGAUCU